rnacentral:rRNA from 1 species
CCUGGCGGCAUGCCUAUCAUGCAAGUCGAACGCUUUGAUUUCACCGGGUGCUUGCACCCACCGAAGUCAAAGAGUGGCGGACGGGUGAGUAACACGUGGGUAACCUGCCCAUAAGAGGGGGAUAACAUUCGGAAACGGAUGCUAAUACCGCAUACUUCUAAUCGCCUCCUGGCGAAUGGAAAAAAGGUGGCUUCGGCUACCGCUUAUGGAUGGACCCGCGGCGUAUUAGCUAGUUGGUGAGGUAAUGGCUCACCAAGGCGAUGAUACGUAGCCGACCUGAGAGGGUGAUCGGCCACACUGGGACUGAGACACGGCCCAGACUCCUACGGGAGGCAGCAGUAGGGAAUCUUCCGCAAUGGACGAAAGUCUGACGGAGCAAUGCCGCGUGAGUGAAGAAGGUUUUCGGAUCGUAAAACUCUGUUGUUAGAGAAGAACAAGGAUGAGAGUAACUGCUCAUCCCCUGACGGUAUCUAACCAGAAAGCCACGGCUAACUACGUGCCAGCAGCCGCGGUAAU